GCUUGACACUAAAUAUAUUUAGCUGGUUUGGCUUGAGUUUAGUUUUAUGUAGUAAGUGUUUCGUUGGGGUGACGGGAAGAUAAGAGAAACUCUUUUUAAAUUUACGACACAAAUGAGUGAAUAAUUGAUCCAUACAUAAUGAUUAUAAGACCAAGU
rnacentral:rRNA from 1 species